ensembl:lncRNA
CCCCCGGCCCGCCGGCCGCUCGGAUCUGAGACCACUCCCCAGCCUCCAGCGCCCGAAAUUCGAGGACCGUUGCCCACACGCCACCGUUUGCCCCGGCGGCCGAGGCGGCAUGUGCAGACACGUCCUGGUCAGCACGCACGCACGGAGGAAUACUCCCCUCGGGGUCCCGGGGGCAAAGCCUUCCCCAGCCAGGACAAACUCCAGCGUGGGCUCCGGCGGUGACUUCCCCGUGCCCCACCAGCACCAGGGCCAGAACACGCGCACCCCGAAGUCACCGGUGCCCCAGUCCACACCUAGGCACGCGCACGCGGCUCGGGCUCCUCCAGGUGAGUCCCUCCUGGUCACACUCCCGCGUGUCCUUGUCCCUUUGCACGCUGAGUCCAGUGCACGCCACCCACGCACGCACGCGUCCUCCGCUGUCCGGGUGCGCGCACCCCAAGGUCCCGGCCUGCGUGAAGGAGAGGUGCAGGCAGCCCCAACCUGGGCACUUAGUCGCCUCCCAGUGCCCCCGCCUGUCAGAGGUCAGCGCUGCCCCACCAGACUUGGGGGCUGCUCUCCAAGCACCCCCGACGGGGCUGAUUCUCGGGUUGAUCUUCAGUUCAAAAGCUGGGGGCCCUUUCCGGUCGUCCCUCCGCGGCGUUUUGGGUCACCCUUCUGCCCCCUCUAGUUUCCCAGGGUGACUCUCCCUCUCCCCGGCCCCACGGAACAGGAAGACACCGCGGGCAGGCGACCUUUGCGAAGGCUGGCCCCGGGACCCACCCUUUCCGAGGCGUGCUGCUGCGCCUGAGUUUGGGGCAGACUUUCCCGAAGCUCCCAUCCCUUCCCGCGAGCCUGCUGCCUCGGGCUUCCAGUUCGGGGUCCUUCAAGCUGGUUUUUCCCGGGUCAGGCCACGUACCCCUCGGACAUGCAACUCUGCGAAAUGCCUUUUAUUUUUAAGUAAGAGUGGGAGAGAAGAAUGCCUAGGGCAGAUUCCCCUCCACCCCCCGAAUUUGCUGACGUAUCCUUUGAGCCCAGAGCAGGGCCUGGCACCCCGGGGGCGCUCACCAAAUAUCUGCAGCACCUUUAUUCCGCGUGCUCCCGCUGGACGGCGGAAGUGGAACGUGGACCGGCACUGGCUCCUGGUGGUGUCUUGUGGAACUGUCGCCGAGGUUCUUCCGUAGCGCGCAGAUUCGGCCUUCUGAGCCUCAGUGUUCUCUCCUGUAAAACAGAGCUCGUUUUAGUAGUACAUGCCUAUCCGGGUAAACAAACGAGACCUGAGAAGGGCUUUACACAAGUUCUGGCACUUGUAAAAUCCUUAGUAGGAGCUACUAAUAUUGGAAUUACAGUUACAUUCCUUUCCCCGGCUUGUUUUUAGAGAGACCUUUGAUCAUAAUGGAUGACGAUAUUUUGGAAGGAAGGAGUGAAAAUGAAGGAGGAUUCUGGUGGUAGGUGCAUCCCUCCGCCUGCUGCAAAGUCAGACACUGCCCCAGAGGCAUCUCAUGUCCCUGGAGGGCUCCCGGGGCCCCACCCUGGGAAAGAAUAACUCUAGGUGAUACAGGGAGUGGUGUCAGGCUCUUGGAUGCUCAGUCCAGUUCUGGCUAAUGAAAGAAGAGUGGCUUCCGUGGCCCUGAAAAAUGCUGGAGCUGUGACUUCCAACUGACCACGUCAUGGUUCAUAGUCAGGUGUCUGCGAGGCUGUGGUGUCUGUCCCUCCCACCAGGCUGAACCCCAGGACUGUCCAAUCUGGUGGCCCCUGGUACGUUACAUGUGACUAGUAUGAGUGUGGAAUUGCACUUUGUUUUAUUUACUUUUGGUAAUUUAAAUAUAAAUGGCCACAGGUAGCCAGUAGCUACUGAAUGCACAGUGUGUAUUUAACAUCAGAGAGGAGAAAAACCACGUCUCAUGUUCUUUCUUGUAUCCCAUGACCUACACAGUGCAUGGUUCAUCAAAUAUUUGUUGACUGAAAGAAUAAUUAAAUUUCAGCCUUGCUUUCCUGUUAUGGUUUAUAUCUAAAAUGUCCCCCAAAGCCUCAUGUGCUUCCAGGUGGGGCUUUUGGGAGUGGAUGGAUCAUGGGUGUGUGAUACUGGAUUAAGGGUGUGAUAACUGGAUUAGUCCACUCAUUGAUUUAGCACAGUUUUGAGUGUGGGUAAUAGGAAGGCCCACCCUGGGAGUGGGUAGCACCAUCCAGUAGGCUUGUAGCCUGGGUGGGAUAAAAGGGAAAGGAAGCCUUGCUAACUUGCUUGCUGCUUGCUCACAGCUUGCUGCUUUCUGCUCACCCUGCCAUGGACUGUUUCUCCUCUGUGAUAGCCCCUCUGCCAUGCUGCCCUUCCUUGGAGCCAGAUUAGUGACUAAACUUCUACAAAUGGUGAGCUAAAAUAAACCCCUUUCCUCCUUUAACUUUUAGUAUCUGGUAUUUUAUCUCAGCAACAAGGGAGUAACUGAGACAUUCCCCCAUUAAAGUAUGUCUGUUCUUUGCCCAGACCUUUCAGGAGCCUCUUUAUUCUGCAAGUAAUUACCUCAUAUCCCAAAUGGCUUUCCAGCUGUCCAUCCAUCUCCACAAAUCAUCUUGGCAUCACAGGGGUCUUUGGUUGGUGCCACUUCUGAAACAUCAACCGACUCCAUGGAGAAACUGGAUGAAAUGGUGGAAUCCAGACAUCUGAUCUAUUUGAAGUGCCCUUUGAAUUGCCUUAGGCAGUCCUCCAAGUGUGGCCUGCGGAACCUCCCUGGGAUCUGCAAGAUGAGAACUGUUUUAAGGACAGCUCUAAGGCCUCGGUGUCCCUUCUCACCAGCAUGGAGGCAGAGUAGCUUCCAGCAGCUUCCAGAUCCAUGAAGUGGAAGUUGAGGCACAGAAAGGAAAUGAUCAGAAAGCCUCCCGCAUUCAGAUGUUCCCCAAGAGGGACAGGCUGGGCCUUCGUGUGAAGAACAGAAUGUUCCUGGCCACUUCUGUGGGCAGGAUGAAUUUGAGGACCUCAUUUCUUCUGCUGGGACUCUGACCUCGUUCAACAUCACUGGGAAUGAUAGUGGACAGGGCACUGUCCACUACAUCCUAUCUAGAAACAAUAAAAUAAGAAAUCUUAAAAUUCCAAUGUAUAGAGUCUGUGUUUUAUAUAUCUGUUCAUCAGCUGAUGGGCAUCUCAUUGCUUUCGCUUUGAACUAUAGUGAACAAUGCUGCUAUAACCGUUUGUGUACAAUUCUGUGGGGCCCUAUAUUACCAUUUGGGGGGGAUAGAUACUUAGGAUGGAAUGGCUGUUUAUAUGGUAAAAGUAUGAUGGGUAAGAAACUGUCCACCUACUCUAAAAGUUGUUUGUUUGUUUGUUUGUUUGUUUGUUUUAGGGACAGGGUCUUGUUAUACUCCCCACACUGGCCUUGAAUCCAGGGCUCAAGGGAUCCUCCUGCCUCAGCCUCUCAAGUAGCUGGGACUGUAGGUCUGUGCUACCUACCAUGCCUGGAUUAGAAGUGUUUGUCAGGCUGGGCACAGUGGCA